rnacentral:rRNA from 1 species
GACGAACGCUGGCGGCGUGCUUAACACAUGCAAGUCGAACGGUAAGGCCCUUCGGGGUACACGAGUGGCGAACGGGUGAGUAACACGUGGGUGAUCUGCCCUGCACUUCGGGAUAAGCCUGGGAAACUGGGUCUAAUACCGGAUAGGACCCUGGGAUGCAUGUCCUGGGGUGGAAAGCUUUUGUGGUGUGGGAUGGGCCCGCGGCCUAUCAGCUUGUUGGUGGGGUGAUGGCCUACCAAGGCGACGACGGGUAGCCGGCCUGGGAGGGUGACCGGCCACCCUGGGACUGAGAUACGGCCCAGACUCCUACGGGAGGCAGCAGUGGGGAAUAUUGCACAAUGGGCGCAAGCCUGAUGCAGCGACGCCGCGUGAGGGAUGACGGCCUUCGGGUUGUAAACCUCUUUCAGCACCGACGAAGCGCAAGUGACGGUAGGUGCAGAAGAAGGACCGGCCAACUACGUGCCAGCCGCCGCUGUAA